rnacentral:rRNA from 1 species
UUGCCCCAGUAACGGCGAGUGAAGCGGCAACAGCUCAAAUUUGAAAUCUGGCCCCAGGCCCGAGUUGUAAUUUGCAGAGGAUGCUUUUGGCGCGGUGCCUUCCGAGUUCCCUGGAACGGGACGCCAUAGAGGGUGAGAGCCCCGUACGGUUGGACACCAAGCCUUUGUAAAGCUCCUUCGACGAGUCGAGUAGUUUGGGAAUGCUGCUCAAAAUGGGAGGUAUAUUUCUUCUAAAGCUAAAUAUAGGCCAGAGACCGAUAGCGCACAAGUAGAGUGAUCGAAAGAUGAAAAGCACUUUGAAAAGAGGGUUAAACAGCACGUGAAAUUGUUAAAAGGGAAGCGCUUGUGACCAGACUUGCGUCCGGUGAAUCACCCAGCUCUCGCGGCUGGGGCACUUCGCCGGCACAGGCCAGCAUCAGCUUGCCGUCGGGGACAAAAGCUUCAGGAACGUAGCUCUCUUCGGGGAGUGUUAUAGCCUGUUGCAUAAUACCCUUCGGCGGGCCGAGGUACGCGCUCCGCAAGGAUGCUGGCGUAAUGGUCAUCAGCGACCCGUCUGAACACGA